rnacentral:rRNA from 1 species
ACACAUGCAAGUCGAGGGGCAGCAUUUUUGAAGCUUGCUUCAAAAGAUGGCGACCGGCGCACGGGUGAGUAACGCGUAUGGAACCAACCCGCAACAGGGGGAUAACCCGGAGAAAUCCGGACUAAUACCGCAUGGUACUCUUUGCACAGAAGUGUGAAGAUUUAAAGAUGCGAAUCGGUUGCGGACGGUCAUGCGUUCCAUUAGCUAGUUGGCGGGGUAACGGCCCACCAAGGCGACGAUGGAUAGGGGUUCUGAGAGGAAGGUCCCCCACACUGGUACUGAGACACGGACCAGACUCCUACGGGAGGCAGCAGUGAGGAAUAUUGGUCAAUGGGCGAGAGCCUGAACCAGCCAAGUCGCGUGAGGGAAGACGGCCCUAUGGGUUGUAAACCUCUUUUAGAUGGGAGUAAAGUGUUCUACGCGUAGGAUAUUGCAAGUACCAUCAGAAUAAGCAUCGGCUAAUUCCGUGCCAGCAGCCGCGGUAAUACGGAAGAUGCGAGCGUUAUCCGGAUUUAUUGGGUUUAAAGGGUGCGUAGGCGGGUGAUUAAGUCAGCGGUGAAAUGCGUCAGCUUAACUGGCGAACUGCCAUUGAAACUGGUUACCUUGAGUGUAGCGGAAGUAUGCGGAAUGCGUGGUGUAGCGGUGAAAUGCAUAGAUAUCACGCAGAACUCCGAUUGCGAAGGCAGCAUACCAUACUAUAACUGACGCUGAAGCACGAAAGCGUGGGUAUCGAACAGGAUUAGAUACCCUGGUAGUCCACGCAGUAAACGAUGAAUACUCACCGUUUGCGAUAUAAUGUAAGCGGUAAAGCGAAAGCGUUAAGUAUUCCACCUGGGG